CCCGCCUCCAGGUGACACGUGCUGUGCUUCCUUACUCUGUGACCUAACGGGAGUUGUUGUUUUUCUGAGACAAGAGAAGAGAGAGCAGAGCUAUUUUUUUUAUAGCCUGAUUGUGAUUUUUCUGAGACUUCAAGAAAAAGCGUGGUGGGAGGAAAGCUGCAAUGUGGUGAGGAGGAGCUGAUUCCGCCAUGCAGCGGGAGGAAAGCAGGUGGUUCAGACGGUGCAGAUGUUGGUAAACUGCUGCUGCAGACCAUCGUGGUUCUUCGUGCUCCUCUGAGUUGCAGGAUGUCUCAUCAGUGUCCGUCUUCCUGACUGCUGGUCAGUGUUUACCUUCAGGAUGUCCAAAGACCUUCACCUUUCUAGAGCAGGAAUCACAUGAACCCUGAAGAAACAUCAGCCAAUUUUAAAAAAUGUGGCUGAUGUUCUUACAGAAUUGAAGUGCAUCAACAAUCUGUUGUUUUUAACUUCUCAAUAUGUUUAAUUAUGAUUCAUCUGAUGUUCAAGUUAUACUGAGAAUAAAGGAAUAAAGCUGUAUUCCUUC